GGCAGCGUGGCCGAGCGGUUAAGGCGCUGGUUUUAGGCACCAGUCCGAAAGGGCGUGGGUUCGAGUCCCACCGCUGUCA
rnacentral:tRNA from 2 species